rnacentral:rRNA from 1 species
GACGAACGCUGGCGGCGUGCUUAACACAUGCAAGUCGAACGGUAAGGCCCUUCGGGGUACACGAGUGGCGAACGGGUGAGUAACACGUGGGUGAUCUGCCCUGCACUUCGGGAUAAGCCUGGGAAACUGGGUCUAAUACCGGAUAGGACCACUGCCUGCAUGGGUGGUGGUGGAAAGCUUUUGCGGUGUGGGAUGGGCCCGCGGCCUAUCAGCUUGUUGGUGGGGUGAUGGCCUACCAAGGCGACGACGGGUAGCCGGGCUGGGAGGGUGACCGGCAAGGCUGGGACGGGGAUGCGGCCCAGACUCCUACGGGAGGCAGCAGUGGGGAAUAUUGCACAAUGGGCGCAAGGCGGAUGCAGCGGCGCCGCGUGAGGGAUGACGGCCUUCGGGUUGUAAACCUCUUUCAGCACCGACGAAGCGCAAGUGACGGUAGGUGCAGAAGAAGGACCGGCCAACUACGUGCCAGCCGCCGCCGUAA